UUUAUGAUUCCUCUAUUUAGAAAAAGACUAGAGUUUCCUAUAUUUUGAAGAGAAAUAAGAGCACCUGAAAAAAGGACUUACUCCAGUGCCGUCUAUAUCCAGCCUGGCUUUCUCUGAGCUGCACGGGGAAGAAAUAUUUCCAAGGCACCAGUGGUUGCCAUAUCCUGUAUGCAAAAAGAUUCCAUAAAUGUCUGAAAACAGAUGGAAUGCAACUUUGGAGGAAUAAAUGGAUUUUUAAUUUUCUGAACAUUUUGGAUUCCAUCUGGUUGAAGUAACUAAGUGACCUAGUAGAAUACUUUUACCUUUCUUGUAUAAUAGACGGAAACACAGCUUGCACUGCUAUUGACUGACACAUUCCCCAUUAAUACACAGGUUUUACUUGCUUAUACAUUUGCUUACUUUUAACUCUUUUGACUGCACAGCAAGGAAUACCUGAUGCACCUCUUCCUGCGUAUCAGAUCUAAAUGUUGGCCCUCUCUCAACUCAUGAUUUGGCUUUGCAGCUAGUGAGGAGGAACUCUAAACCACUUGCCUAAGCCCACCUAACAGUAGUGGGAGAUACUGCACCUUAGACUAACAUACCUUACACAUACAUUAGAUAACAAACCUUAGACUUAUCUCCUUAAAGAAAACUCAUAAUUUUCUGUCUUGUUUAAAGGCAAAGAAUAAAAAGAAAUGGAGACUUUGUGUACAGGUACCAGUAAAGUGGAUUAUUUCUGUUUAUUGCUCUUUUUGUUAUUGCCAUUUAGAAUGCUGUUAAACAAGUAAGAGUAAAUACAUGUGUGUUUUUAACAGGAAAUGAGUUUUUCUCUAUGAAUAGGAAAUACAGGCAACUUGAACUCACAAGAAAGAAGUCAUAAAGUGUAUUACUCUAUAUAAAAAACGGAAGAUCUCAGUUUAUGGAAAAGACACCAUUUUUGUGCCUGCCUCAGUGAAAACUGAAAUACAAAUCUGUUCACUCUCCUUGAAAGAAAAGGUUGUCUCCUGUCUGAAAAACGAAGAGUCAAAAAGUCCCGUGGCCUUUCCGCCCUUUACACUGAAAAGAAAAUGAACUGCCUGGUCAUAGGAUGAAUGUUGUCUUGGGUCACCAUCAAGAUCCUGACCUGCCUAACUGAUGUGACACAGGGAAAGAGAUUGCCAAGUGAGAAAUUUCAAGGGGUCUACAAGUCAUUCAGGUGAAAGAACAACUUUCUGCUGUAUUUUUCAUAUUCUUCAGUGUCUGCUACUGUGACUGGGAGGAAUAUGGAACCAUCUCACCCCAUCACACCCUGUCCGUGAUGUGACAUCCUUGCACAUGUGGGA